GACGAACGCUGGCGGCGUGCCUAAUACAUGCAAGUAGGACGCAGUUGCGAACGGGUGAGUAACGCGUAGGUAACUACCUAUUAGAGGGGGAUAACUAUUGGAAACGAUAGCUAAUACCGCAUACUAGUAGAUGGACCUGCGUUGUAUUAGCUAGGAGGUAGGGUAAUGGACUACCUAGGCAACGAUACAUAGCCGACCUGAGAGGGUGGACCGCCAAACGGGGACGGAGACACGGGCCCAACUCCCUCGGGGGGGAGCAGUAGGGAAUGUUCGGCAAUGGGGGGAACCCUGGCCGAGCAACGCCGCGUGAGUGGAGAAGGUUUUCGGAUCGUAAAGGUCUGUUGUUAAGGAAGCGGUACUUAACCAGAAAGGGACGGCUAACUACGUGCCAGCAGCCGCGGUAAUAC
rnacentral:rRNA from 1 species